rnacentral:rRNA from 1 species
UACGUAGGGUGCAAGCGUUAAUCGGAAUUACUGGGCGUAAAGCGUGCGCAGGCGGUCAUGUAAGACAGGGGUGAAAUCCCCGGGCUUAACCUGGGAACUGCAUUUGUGACUGCAUAGCUAGAGUACGGUAGAGGGGGAUGGAAUUCCGCGUGUAGCAGUGAAAUGCGUAGAUAUGCGGAGGAACACCGAUGGCGAAGGCAAUCCCCUGGACCUGUACUGACGCUCAUGCACGAAAGCGUGGGGAGCAAACAGG